GAUGAACGCUGGCGGCGUGCCUAAUACAUGCAAGUCGAGCGAACAGACGAGGAGCUUGCUCCUCUGACGUUAGCGGCGGACGGGUGAGUAACACGUGGAUAACCUACCUAUAAGACUGGGAUAACUUCGGGAAACCGAAGCUAAUACCGGAUAAUAUAUUGAACCGCAUGGUUCAAUAGUGAAAGACGGUUUUGCUGUCACUUAUAGAUGGAUCCGCGCCGCAUUAGCUAGUUGGUAAGGUAACGGCUUACCAAGGCAACGAUGCGUAGCCGCCCUGGGAGGGUGAUCGGCCACACUGGAACUGAGACACGGUCCAGACUCCUACGGGAGGCAGCAGUAGGGAAUCUUCCGCAAUGGGCGAAAGCCUGACGGAGCAACGCCGCGUGAGUGAUGAAGGUCUUCGGAUCGUAAAACUCGGUUAUUAGGGAAGAACAAAUGUGUAAGUAACUAUGCACGUCUUGACGGUACCUAAUCAGAAAGCCACGGCUAACUACGUG
rnacentral:rRNA from 1 species